rnacentral:rRNA from 1 species
AUUGAACGCUGGCGGCAGGCCUAACACAUGCAAGUCGGACGGUAGCACAGAGGAGCUUGCUCCUUGGGUGACGAGUGGCGGACGGAUGAGUAAUGUCUGGGGAUCUGCCCGAUAGAGGGGGAUAACCACUGGAAACGGUGGCUAAUACCGCAUAACGUCGCAAGACCAAAGAGGGGGACCUUCGGGCCUCUCACUAGCGGAUGAACCCAGAUGGGAUUAGCUAGUAGGCGGGGUAAUGGCCCACCUAGGCGACGAUCCCUAGCUGGUCUGAGAGGAUGACCAGCCACACUGGAACUGAGACACGGUCCAGACUCCUACGGGAGGCAGCAGUGGGGAAUAUUGCACAAUGGGCGCAAGCCUGAUGCAGCCAUGCCGCGUGUAUGAAGAAGGCCUUCGGGUUGUAAAGUACUUUCAGCGGGGAGGAAGGCGGUGAGGUUAAUAACCUUGCCGAUUGACGUUACCCGCAGAAGAAGCACCGGCUAACUCCGUGCCAGCCGCCGCGGUAA